rnacentral:rRNA from 1 species
CCUACGGGAGGCAGCAGUGGGGAAUUUUGGACAAUGGGCGAAAGCCUGAUCCAGCAAUGCCGCGUGUGGGAAGAAGGCCUUCGGGUUGUAAACCACUUUUGUACGGAACGAAACGGUCUGCUUUAAUACAGUGGGCUAAUGGCGGUACCGUAAGAAUAAGCACCGGCUAACUACGUGCCAGCAGCCGCGGUAAUACGUAGGGUGCGAGCGUUAAUCGGAAUUACUGGGCGUAAAGCGUGCGCAGGCGGUUAUAUAAGACAGUUGUGAAAUCCCCGGGCUCAACCUGGGAAUUGCAUCUGUGACUGUAUAGCUAGAGUACGGUAGAGGGGGACGGAAUUCCGCGUGUAGCAGUGAAAUGCGUAGAUAUGCGGAGGAACACCGAUGGCGAAGGCAAUCCCCUGGACCUGUACUGACGCUCAUGCACGAAAGCGUGGGGAGCAAACAGGAUUAGAUACCCUGGUAGUCCACGCCCUAAACGAUGUCAACUGGUUGUUGGGUGCAUUAGUACUCAGUAACGAAGCUAACGCGUGAAGUUGACCGCCUGGGGGAGGUACGGCCGGCGACGGUAGUAACGUAACGUAAAGAAAGUUAGUAGGCGUUGAGACGNGCCGACGGACGACGACGAGGGAGGAGGAG